GCAAGUCGAACGGACAGACAGAGAGCUUGCUCUCUUGAAGUUAGUGGCGAACGGGUGAGUAACGCGUAAUCAACCUGCCCUUCAGAGGGGGAUAACAACGGGAAACCGUUGCUAAUACCGCGUACGAUUCAUGAACGGCAUCGUUUAUGAAUGAAAGGUGGCCUCUAUGUAUAAGCUAUCGCUGAAGGAGGGGAUUGCGUCUGAUUAGCUAGUUGGAGGGGUAACGGCCCACCAAGGCAAUGAUCAGUAGCCGGUCUGAGAGGAUGAAC
rnacentral:rRNA from 1 species